rnacentral:rRNA from 1 species
AGUGAACGCUGGCGGUAGGCCUAACACAUGCAAGUCGAACGGCAGCACAGUAAGAGCUUGCUCUUACGGGUGGCGAGUGGCGGACGGGUGAGGAAUACAUCGGAAUCUACUUUUUCGUGGGGGAUAACGGAGGGAAACUUACGCUAAUACCGCAUACGACCUACGGGUGAAAGCAGGGGAUCUUCGGACCUUUCGCGAUUGAAUGAGCCGAUGUCGGAUUAGCUAGUUGGUGAGGUAAAGGCCCACCAAGGCAACGAUCCGUAGCAGAUCUGAGAGGAUGAUCAGCCACACUGGAACUGAGACACGGUCCAGACUCCUACGGGAGGCAGCAGUGGGGAAUCUUCGACAAUGGGCGCAAGCCUGAUGCAGCCAUACCGCGUGAGUGAAGAAGGUCUUCGGGUUGUAAAGCCCUUUUGUUGGGAAAGAAAAGAAGCAGAUUAAUCCCCCGAUGUUCUGACGGUACCCAAAGAAUAAGCACCGGCUAACUUCGUG